AGUGAACGCUGGCGGUAGGCCUAACACAUGCAAGUCGAACGGCAGCACAGUAAGAGCUUGCUCUUACGGGUGGCGAGUGGCGGACGGGUGAGGAAUACAUCGGAAUCUACUUUUUCGUGGGGGAUAACGUAGGGAAACUUACGCUAAUACCGCAUACGACCUACGGGUGAAAGCAGGGGAUCUUCGUACCUUGCGCGAUUGAAUGAGCCGAUGUCGGAUUAGCUAGUUGGCGGGGUAAAGGCCCACCAAGGCGACGAUCCGUAGCUGGUCUGAGAGGAUGAUCAGCCACACUGGAACUGAGACACGGUCCAGACUCCUACGGGAGGCAGCAGUGGGGAAUAUUGGACAAUGGGCGCAAGACUGAUCCAGCCAUACCGCGUGGGUGAAGAAGGCCUUCGGGUUGUAAAGCCCUUUUGUUGGGAAAGAAAAGCAGCAGGUUAAUACCCCGCUGUUCUGACGGUACCCAAAGAAUAAGCACCGGCUAACUUCGUG
rnacentral:rRNA from 1 species